rnacentral:miRNA from 1 species
UACACGUGCUCGGAUAACGCUCA